AUGCUUGUUGACACCAAAAUGAGGAGAGAAGCAUGGCUUGAGGGUCGUGCUAAUUCUUUAGACACCAGCAGAGAAACCAAGGCUUGGGAGAAUCUAUGGAAAGUUGAUGUUCCGUCCAAAGUAAAAAUCUUCUUAUGGAGUCUCGCCCAACAGUCAAUUCCCAUAGCGGAUGUGCUAAACCAUCGGAAUAUGUUGACCAGCACAACGUGCAGUUUAUGCGGGGCUGAAGAUUCAUGUCAACACUCUUUGCUUCAUUGCACAGUAGCUCGGUAUGAUUGGGCGCUACUGAAGGAAAUAUGCCCUGGAGGCAAUAAUAAAGUUGUUAUUUUAUAUUUCCUUAUUCAUGAUAAAGUUUUAUUAUUCAUGCUAGAAUUGUAUUAA
rnacentral:rRNA from 1 species